UACGUAGGGUGCAAGCGUUAAUCGGAAUUACUGGGCGUAAAGCGUGCGCAGACGGUUAUGCAAGACAGAUGUGAAAUCCCCGGGCUCAACCUGGGAACUGCAUUUGUGACUGCAUGGCUAGAGUACGGUAGAGGGGGAUGGAAUUCCGCGUGUAGCAGUGAAAUGCGUAGAUAUGCGGAGGAACACCGAUGGCGAAGGCAAUCCCCUGGACCUGUACUGACGCUCAUGCACGAAAGCGUGGGGAGCAAACAGG
rnacentral:rRNA from 1 species